rnacentral:lncRNA from 1 species
AUCAAUCUAACAAUUACAAUCUUUGCAAAAUCACGGAUCUCAUAUUCUGCAGCGCGCUACAAAUGUAUGUUGAUUGCAAGUUGCAACUAUAUCAGUUUGUUUUGAGUUGUAAGUAAACAUUAUAUGAUGGUAUUGUUGACAUAAGUAAAUAUUGGGGGUUUUGAGUCUAUUUUGGCCAUUUUGAUCAAUUUGUAAGGUAUCAACUACUGUUUGAAAGUUCUUUCUUUGCUUGGUUUCAUGAUUUUUCAAGGAGCAUUACUUUGUGUGGCUAAUUUAGAUUGAUUUUUUAUAUCGAAUCGUUGAUAGAGCUAUUCUUUUGUUGUUGCACAUGAUUUGACAGAUGUGGUGUGUAUUUAUAUACGUUCGGGACUGGUGUGGUGCCAAUAUGCCUUCAAAAUUAUAGGUAUCUCAACCAAGAAUAUCCAAUAAGGAAUUGGAAGAGCUAAACACUUCAACAUGCAAGAAAGUACAGUUUAUGGCAUAUGUUGAUGGAAGUGGUAGAGAUUUGAUGAUCACUAACGGCUUAGGGGAGUUGUGUUGAUAUUUACUGUGACAAAGGUUUGUAGUAUGACGAUUUGUGAAAAGUUGUAAUGAGUAUUGUAAUCGGUAGUGUUGGCACUAUUGUGUUGUCUCCAUACAUCAUUCAUUAGUAAUAUUAAUUUUUCAUUAAAUAGCCAGGUUUGAAUGCAAACUUAGAUUAUUGUUUUACAAUCAAACAAAUGCAAACUUACAAGGAUGAGGCAAAUAUAAGGCUUCAUAAGCAAUAGUAAGUGCAAUUUGCCUGGUGAUAACUUCUUUGUAAAAAUAAAAAUCUC